AAGAGACAGCAGCCGCCGCGGUAAUACAGAGGGUGCGAGCGUUAAUCGGAUUUACUGGGCGUAAAGCGUGCGUAGGCGGCUUUUUAAGUCGGAUGUGAAAUCCCUGAGCUUAACUUAGGAAUUGCAUUCGAUACUGGGAAGCUAGAGUAUGGGAGAGGAUGGUAGAAUUCCAGGUGUAGCGGUGAAAUGCGUAGAGAUCUGGAGGAAUACCGAUGGCGAAGGCAGCCAUCUGGCCUAAUACUGACGCUGAGGUACAAAAGCAUGGGGAGCAAACAGGAUUAGAUACCCGAGUAGUCCCUGUCUCUUAUAC
rnacentral:rRNA from 1 species